UGGCACUCCAGAUGUUUUGGACUACACCUCCCAUGAUUCUUGUCCAGCAUUAGGGGGGUGUAGUUCAAAACAUCUGGAGUGCCA